rnacentral:rRNA from 1 species
GGCGGACGGGUGAGUAACGCGUAGGCAACCUGCCCCAUACAGAGGGAUAGCCUCGGGAAACCGGGAUUAAAACCUCAUAACGCGAGGAGUUCACAUGGGCUUCUCGCCAAAGAUUUAUCGGUAUGGGAUGGGCCUGCGUCUGAUUAGCUAGUUGGUGAGGUAACGGCUCACCAAGGCGACGAUCAGUAGCCGACCUGGGAGGGUAAUCGGCCACAUUGGAACUGAGGCACGGUCCAAACUCCUACGGGAGGCAGCAGUGGGGAAUAUUGCACAAUGGGCGAAAGCCUGAUGCAGCAACGCCGCGUGAGCGAUGAAGGCCUUUGGGUCGUAAAGCUCUGUCCUUGGGGAAGAAACAAAUGACGGUACCCUUGGAGGAAGCCCCGGCUAACUACGUGCCAGCAGCCGCGGUAAUACGUAGGGGGCGAGCGUUAUCCGGAAUUAUUGGGCGUAAAGAGUGCGUAGGUGGCCAUAUAAGCGCGGGGUGAAAGGCAAUAGCUUAACUAUUGUAAGCCUUGCGAACUGUGUGGCUUGAGUGCAGGAGAGGAAAGUGGAAUUCCUAGUGUAGCGGUGAAAUGCGUAGAUAUUAGGAGGAACACCAGUGGCGAAGGCGACUUUCUGGACUGUAACUGACACUGAGGCACGAAAGCGUGGGGAGCAAACAGGAUUAGAUACCCUGGUAGUCCACGCCGUAAACGAUGAGCACUAGGUGUCGGGGUCGCAAGACUUCGGUGCCGCAGUUAACGCAUUAAGUGCUCCGCCUGGGGAGUACGCACGCAAGUGUGAAACUCAAAGGAAUUGA